GAUGAACGCUGGCGGCGUGCCUAAUACAUGCAAGUCGAGCGACCAGACGAGAAGCUCGCUCUUCUGACGUUAGCGGCGGACGGGUGAGUAACACGUGGAUAACCUACUUAUAAUACUGGGAUAAUUACGGGAGACCGCAUAUACUACUGGAGCAUACAUCCUACGGCUUGGUGCAGUAGUGCAUCAGACCUUGCCUGAUUCAUUUAGACGUUGCCGGAUUAGCUAGUUGGUUGGGUAAGGGCCCACCAAGGCGACGAUGCGUAGCCGGCCUGAGAGGAUGAUCGGCCACACUGGAACUGAGACACGGUCCAGACUCCUACGGGAGGCAGCAGUGGGGAAUAUUCCACAAUGGGCGAAAGCCUGACCGAGCAACGCCGCGUGAGUGAUGAAGGUCUUCGGAUCGUAAAACUCUGUUAUUGGGAAAGAACAAAUGUAUAAGUAACUAUGCACGUCUUGACGGUACCUAAUCAGAAAGCCACGGCUAACUUCGUG
rnacentral:rRNA from 1 species